rnacentral:rRNA from 1 species
AUUGAACGCUGGCGGCAGGCCUAACACAUGCCAGUCGAACGGUAACAGGAAGAAGCUUGCUUCUUUGCUGACGAGUGGCGGACGGGUGAGUAAUGUCUGGGAAACUGCCUGAUGGAGGGGGAUAACUACUGGAAACGGUAGCUAAUACCGCAUAACGUCGCAAGACCAAAGAGGGGGACCUUCGGGCCUCUUGCCAUCGGAUGUGCCCAGAUGGGAUUAGCUAGUAGGUGGGGUAACGGCUCACCUAGGCGACGAUCCCUAGCUGGUCUGAGAGGAUGACCAGCCACACUGGAACUGAGACACGGUCCAGACUCCUACGGGAGGCGGCAGUGGGGAAUAUUGCACAAUGGGCGCAAGCCUGAUGCAGCCAUGCCGCGUGUAUGAAGAAGGCCUUCGGGUUGUAAAGUACUUUCAGCGGGGAGGAAGGGAGUAAAGUUAAUACCUUUGCUCAUUGACGUUACCCGCAGAAGAAGCACCGGCUAACUCCGUG